CUAGGUCAAAUGAGGGGCUUGUUCGAGCAUGGUCUCUAGAAACUGUUUGAACGAUAAAAAUCUAAAAACUACCAGCUUUCCUCUGAUUGCAAAUAAAUCUUGCAUUCACUGGGCCCUCAUUCAGUCCCAUUGUCUGCGUACCUGGUGAAGAUAUUGUGAUCAGGUUCAUACUGAUAUACAUGAUGAGACAGUAUGAAGUGUGAAAAUUAUGGAAGACUUGAGGACAAAGACCUAAGUUCAAGGCCCAGACCCUCCUCUUACAAGCUGUGUGACUUGGCGACUUGUUUAAUUUUUGUAAAUCAUAG
rnacentral:lncRNA from 1 species